rnacentral:rRNA from 1 species
AUUGAACGCUGGCGGCAUGCCUAACACAUGCAAGUCGAGCGAGCGGCGGACGGGUGAGUAAUGUCUGGGAAACUUCCCGAUGGAGGGGGAUAACUACUGGAAACGGUAGCUAAUUCCGCAUACCAUCAGAUGUGCCCAGUUGGGAUUCGCUAGUAGGUGGGGUAACUGCUCACCUAGGCGACGAUCCCUACCUGGUCUGAGAGGGUGACCAGCCACACUGGAACUGAGACACGGUCCAGACUCCUACGGGAGGCAGCAGUGGGGAAUAUUGCACAAUGGGCGAAAGCCUGAUGCAGCCAUGCCGCGUGUGUGAAGAAGGCCUUCGGGUUGUAAAGCACUUUCAGCGGGGAGGCGUUACCCGCAGAAGAAGCACCGGCUAACUCCGUGCCAGCAGCCGCGGUAAUAC